AGUGAACGCUGGCGGCAGGCCUAAUACAUGCAAGUCGAACGGCAGCACAGCAGAGCUUGCUCUGUGGGUGGCGAGUGGCGGACGGGUGAGGAAUACAUGGGAAUCUGCCCAGUCGUGGGGGAUAACGUAUGGAAACGUACGCUAAUACCGCAUGCGCCCUACGGGGGAAAUCGGGGACCGCAAGGCCUGACGCGAUUGGAUGAGCCCAUGUUCGAUUAGCUAGUUGGCGGGUAAAGGCCCACCAAGGCGACGAUCGAUAGCUGGUCUGAGAGGAUGAUCAGCCACACUGGAACUGAGACACGGUCCAGACUCCUACGGGAGGCAGCAGUAGGGAAUAUUGGACAAUGGGGGCAACCCUGAUCCAGCCAUGCCGCGUGAGUGAAGAA
rnacentral:rRNA from 1 species